AACAAACGCUGGCGGCGUGCCUAAUACAUGCAAGUCGAACGGGGAAAGCUUUCGGGCGAGUACUAGUGGCGCACGGGUGAGUAACGCGUGGAUAAUCUGCCUUAGAGUGGGGGAUAACUAGUCGAAAGAUUAGCUAAUACCGCAUAAGACCACAAGAACUGCGGUUCAAGAGGUCAAAGGUUUUUCGCUCUAAGAUGAGUCCGCGUAAGAUUAGCUAGUUGGUGAGGUAACGGCUCACCAAGGUAACGAUCUUUAACUGGUCUGAGAGGAUGAUCAGUCACACUGGAACUGAGACACGGACCAGACUCCUACGGGAGGCAGCAGUAGGGAAUAUUGCACAAUGGAGGAAACUCUGAUGCAGCGACGCCGCGUGAGUGAUGAAGGCCUUCGGGUCGUAAAGCUCUGUCGCAGGGGAAUAACACAAUGAAUGUACCCUGUAAGAAAGGAUCGGCUAACUUCGUGCCAGCAGCCGCCGUAAUAC
rnacentral:rRNA from 1 species